ACGAACGCCACGCUUCUUUCUUUCUUUCUCUCGCCGUCGCCGGCCGUGACUCCAGCUGUCCCUCACUGCUGAAAGCGUGAAACAUGUCUCCCACGUGGGGGAUCCAGAAAUCCAGUGAACUGUAGGCUCACUUUUGUUUGCUUGCAUUGUGUGGUCACCGCAGAGAUUAUUGGGAAGUGCGUCCUCCCGUCGAAAGCUUGGAUUCAAGAAACAACAACAGUCAAGUCUAGAGGAUUCAAGACAAGUUCGGUUUAACCUCGUACUAGGAACGUAGAAUAAUGUAAACAUUGGCAUCUGCACAUCAGGAUAACUGAUGUCUUUGUGUUGCUUUGCUUUUCGGACACUCAUGAACCAUCGUUCCUGUUUCCUGAGGCGGAUCUCCUGCUAGGUUUGGUUCCCGGCUUCUGGCUUUAUCGGAUACUGUAGCUUUUUUAAAAAUACAUCUGGGGUCCUUAACUUUUUUAUAUUCUCAGCUACGCUAUGAAACUAAAAAAAAAAAUCCCAAACCACCACUACGCCAUCACCAUCUGUCAGUUAGUUAAAUUCAAAAAAAAAACUCUCUUCAAUCUCCCUCUCUCUUUGUUUAUUCCAUGGCCGCUGAGUAUGUGCCUCGCCAGUCGUCAUGAUAGGACUGUGCAGACGAACGCACGAGAGUUCACGCGAGAUGGGGGGGGGGGGGGGGGGGGGGGGGGGGGCAAGAAGAAUAAAAAGAGUCGUAGUAGAAAAAGGAAAAAUACACAUUUUUAGGUUUCAUAAUCUAAUCUUAAUAUAAGUAAAAGAUAAUACACGUGGACAAAAUUCAAACUUCUGUUGAUGGCAACUCGAUUGCAUGUAUAAUGAGAUGGUGCAAAAAGAAAUAAAUUAUGACAAUACUAGCUCAUGAGUAGAUAUUAGAAGGAAGAAAAAGAUACUAAUAAUAGUGAACAAUUUUUUAGCUUUCACCUGCUCCUUGAUAGUAUCUUCAAAGGCAACGAACAUCUAGUAGUGGCACUAAAGGCUGGCGAGCAUCUGCUGUGAAAGUAUAUAAUUUCAGCUUCAAUUUCAGGCAGUAUCGGAUGAGCAACAAAAACUAGACAGGUAAACGUGCAUAUGCAAUAGACAAUAAGACCUAAUACAUUUUUAAAGUUCAAUAGUUUCAUUAGUAUCGAAAAUGUCAUCAAAUAUAUCGAAUACUUGCAGUGGCCAAACCACACCGGCAAGAAAAAAAAUGUUGAAUAAAUUUUUUUAUGAUACAUGGAGAUAGCUAGUGAAAGAACUUUUGCAAAACAACCGUCUAAUGUUGUCUCCUGCAACUAUCCUAUCGUAUUCCUUAUUUCAAACUUCAUUAUAUAAAUAGUAUAAUAUAUGGUGUACAAUUUUUAUUUUACAUUAUUUGCUACGGACAACCUAAUAAGUUAAAAUUUAGGAUUAUAUGUGUGAUAAAUCCAACACCGUUGCAUGAGUUACGAUUGUCAUGAAGGUUGUCGGGACAUGUUCAAAUCAGAAAUGAACCUUCUAUGUCAUCGAGUUAAGCCAGUAAUAGGAGAUAAAAUUAAAACCUGGCUUCAGUAUUCUGUUCUGUAACUUUCAUUUUUCUUUCUAUACUUACCCUUCUGUAUCUACUCCCCCUUCAUUUUCUUAAGCAAUAAAAUACUGUAAGCCUCCCUACAGUAACUUUUAUUUCAAAAAAAAGUUACGAUUGUCAUGCAACUCAAAUGUGUUCCUUCUAUUAUAUGUAAACGAGUUAUGAGUAGACAACUGAAAUGAUAAUUUAUUUUAAUAAAUUGUCUAUUAAACUAUCUUAUGAUUACAUAGAACUAAAUGUUGAUGUCAAGCUCCUAAUAGCGAACAACUCCAAGUCAUGAAAACCAUCAUGAUGCAUAGAAUUAUAUAAUAUAUAUAUAAGAGCUAAAAAAAUGUCUCCGGUUUAAAUGUACAAAAGAGCUAAAAAAAUACUAGAUACAAAUUUCAAAAGUGACUUUUAUCUCCAAUAGAGCUUACCAAGAUGAGGCCAACUUAAUUUGGACUCAGCCAAAAUUAUUCUGUCACAAUAUAAUAAUAGGAAAAAAAACGAGAAAGAUGACAAUAGCUCGAGCUAAAUUCUUUGCUCGCAAUCAUUACUCUCGCCGUGAAUUCAGAGUAUCGAGCAGUCCAGCUGUUCCUCACUACUGAAAGCUGAAACAUGUCCUCCACGUGAGGAAUCCAGAGAUCCAGAAAUUGUUGUUUGCUCACUGUCGUUUGCCGCGGAGAUUGGAAACUGUGUCCUCCCGUCGAUUGCUUGGGCUCCAGCGAAGCAUACAUGAUACAUCUGAUGCUCAACUUUCGAGACAUGUUCAGUUUUAACCUCGUACUAGGAACGUAGAA
rnacentral:lncRNA from 1 species